AUGUCCCUACAGAAUGAUUCUGCCUGGGCAACAUGGGCCAAAAAGCACCAGCUCUGCUCCCAAGUCCUUGAGGAAUCUCACAGGACUGGCAAGAAAAGAAAAAACACCAUGAGUGUUUUGGCUCUUGGACAGGAGCUCUUACCACGAGAUCUGUGGCCACGCUGCAUGGACUGUUUCCAAGAGCUCAGUAAAAGAGAAUUUUCAACAAAAAAAAACAGAAAGCUGUGUGGCUUUUGGCUGCUGACACAACCACAGGGUCCCUCCUCAGAAGUUCCUGUGAUGAAGAUGGUUCAGUUCUGCACCAUGAAGGCACAACACCAGCACAGCGCAAUGGGGCGACUAGGCCUCCUUGGGGACCAAAACGUGUCUCACAUAGGAGCUACGACAACCUGCAGCUCCCCUGGUUCUGCCCCCAAGGAUCACUCUGCAAAACAGACAGAAGCCCCAACAGCUCAGCAAUAA
rnacentral:lncRNA from 1 species